rnacentral:rRNA from 1 species
UACGUAGGCGGAAAUCUAAGUCAGUGGUGAAAUCCCGCAGCUCAACUGUGGAACUGUCAUUGAUACUGGUUUUCUUGAAUAUAGUUGAGGUAGGCGGAAUGUGUAAUGUAGCGGUGAAAUGCUUAGAUAUUACACAGAACACCGAUUGCGAAGGCAGCUUACUAAACUAUGAUUGACGCUGAGGUACGAAAGCGUGGGGAGCGAACAGGAUUAGAUUACCCUGGUAGUCC